rnacentral:tRNA from 2 species
GGGCCCGUAACUCAGCUAGGUCAGAGUGACCGGCUCAUAACCGGUCAGCCGUGGGUUCAAAUCCCACCGGGCCCA